rnacentral:rRNA from 1 species
AACCAAUAACACAGCCACUAUGAACGCACCUGAUCCGUCUGAUCUCGGAAGCUAAGCAGGGUCAGGCCUGGUUAGUACUUGGGUGGGAAACCAAUAAAAAGUUGAGUGUAGUGGUUC